rnacentral:rRNA from 1 species
GACGAACGCUGGCGGCGCGCCUAACACAUGCAAGUCGAACGGAGCUGAGAGAAGCUUGCUUUUCUUAGCUUAGUGGCGAACGGGUGAGUCACGCGUGAGUAACCUGCUCUGGAGUGGGGGACAACAGUUGGAAACGACUGCUAAUACCGCAUAAGCUCACGCUCCGGCAUCGGGUUGAGGGAAAAGGGUUUAUUCGCUUCAGGAUGGACUCGCGUCCAAUUAGCUAGUUGGUGAGGUAACGGCCCGCCAAGGCGACGAAUGGUGGCCGGGCUGAGAGGUUGAACCGCCACGAUGGAGCUGAGACACAGACCCCUAUGCGACGGGAGGGAGCAGUGUGUGGUAUAGCGCAAGGGGGGAUGACGUGACACAGCGGCGUCGCGGAGAAGGGGAAUGGGGUUGGAUUGUAAAUUCCUGUGGGAAGAGACGAUAAUGACGGUAACGAACAAAAAAGCACCGGCUAACUACGUG